GAUGAACGCUGGCGGCGUGCCUAAUACAUGCAAGUCGAGCGAAUGGAUUAAGAGCUUGCUCUUAUGAAGUUAGCGGCGGACGGGUGAGUAACACGUGGGUAACCUGCCCAUAAGACUGGGAUAACUCCGGGAAACCGGGGCUAAUACCGGAUAACAUUUUGAACCGCAUGGUUCGAAAUUGAAAGGCGGCUUCGGCUGUCACUUAUGGAUGGACCCGCGUCGCAUUAGCUAGUUGGUGAGGUAACGGCCCACCAAGGCAACGAUGCGUAGCCGACCUGAGAGGGUGAUCGGCCACACUGGGACUGAGACACGGCCCAGACGCCUACGGGAGGCAGCAGUAGGGAAUCUUCCGCAAUGGACGAAAGUCUGACGGAGCAACGCCGCGUGAGUGAUGAAGGCUUUCGGGUCGUAAAACUCUGUUGUUAGGGAAGAACAAGUGCUAGUUGAAUAAGCUGCACCUUGACGGUACCUAACCAGAAAGCCACGGCCAACUACGUGCCAGCAGCCGCCGUAA
rnacentral:rRNA from 1 species